rnacentral:rRNA from 1 species
AUUGAACGCUGGCGGCAUGCCUUACACAUGCAAGUCGAACGGUAACGGGCAUUCGGGUGCCGCCGUGCGGCGAACGGGCGGGCAAUACAUCGAUACGUGCCCGACCGUUGGGGAUAAGGGGGCACAAGCUUUGCACAAACCCCAUACGCUCUACGCAUGACAGCAUGGGACCGCAAGGCCUUGCGCGCUCGUACCGGCCGAUGGCAGAUUAGGUAGUUGGUGGGUUAAAAGCUUACCAAGCCGACGAUCUGUAGCUGGUCUGCGAGGAUGAUCAGCCACACUGGGACUGAGACACGGCCCAGACUCCUACGGGAGGCAGCAGUGGGGAAUGUUGGACAAUGGGCGCAAGCCUGAUCCAGCCAUGCCGCGUGCAAGAAGAAGGCCUUCGGGUUGUAAAAUGCUUUUGUACGGAAGGAAAAGCCUUAUGUUAAUACCGGUGCGUCAUGACGGUACCAGAAGAAUAAGCACCGGCUAACUACGUG